rnacentral:rRNA from 1 species
UACGUAGGGUGCGAGCGUUGUUCGGAAUUAUUGGGCGUAAAGGGUGCGUAGGCGGUGCGGUAAGUCUGUAGUGAAAUCUCUGGCUCAACUCAGAGUCUGCUAUAGAAACUGCCGUGCUUGAGUGUGGGAGAGGUGAGUGGAAUUCCCGGUGUAGCGGUGAAAUGCGUAGAGAUCGGAAAGAACACCAACGGCGAAAGCACUCUGCUGGGCCGACACUGACACUGAGAGACGAAAGCUAGGGGAGCGAAUGGG